AAAAAGGACAGCAAUCCAACAAACGAGUAAUAUUCCCUAUUACAGCAAGAAAAAACAUUUACUUCAAUGAGAAAGAGGAAAAAAAGGGAUGCAUAAUACAAAGUAACCCCAAACAUUUCUCAUUGAAAGUAGGCUCUGUCCAGCUAAGUUUGUUAAGAGUUGUAUGGGAUUGGGACCAAAGUUCCACUGAAGGGGCUGUCACAUUGUUGGGAACCAAUAACAGCUGGGCGUGACACCAAUUGAAUAUUGGUGGGGGAUUUUAGCAAAAACAAUCAUGUUAUCUUGCCACCCCUCACAUCCACCUCCAAAUGCUAGUUUUGUU
rnacentral:misc_RNA from 1 species